CAGCAGCCACGGUAAUACCGAGGGUGCGAGCGUUAAUCGGAUUUACUGGGCGUAAAGCGUGCGUAGGCGGCUUCUUAAGUCGGAUGUGAAAUCCCUGAGCUUAACUUAGGAAUUGCAUUCGAUACUGGGAAGCUAGAGUAUGGGAGAGGAUGGUAGAAUUCCAGGUGUAGCGGUGAAAUGCGUAGAGAUCUGGAGGAAUACCGAUGGCGAAGGCAGCCAUCUGGCCUAAUACUGACGCUGAGGUACGAAAGCAUGGGGAGCAAACAGGAUUAGAUACCCCAGUAGUCCCUGUCUCUUAUAC
rnacentral:rRNA from 1 species